AAGUUAGAGAAGACCCGGUUAGCUUAUUUCGAGGGCUCAUCGUAUCAGUUUCAGUUACAGUGAACGGAGAAAUUAACAACGCCGAAGAUGACCAGUACCGGACUCUUCAAGUUCCUGCGGCCCAAAUUGCGUCCUCAGUCCACCGAUAUACAGGCCGCCGCUACUUGGGGUGUCGCCGCCACUACCACCGCUCUCUGGAUCGUCCAGCCAUGGGACUGGUUGAGGAAGACAUUCAUUGAGAAACCAGAAGAAGAGAAGUGAACAAAAAUGCUGAAGAAGGUGGUUGAGCAGGAUUAAGUUUAAUAAUGUAUCUCAUUUCUCGUGGUUCUUGUUAGUGUAAUCAUGGAAGUUUAAGUUAGCUGAUGGUCUCUCUUCAUACAUCACACAUGUUCACAUUUUCAUUGUUAGUAACAGUGAUGCUUGAUGUUGUGUACUAUGGACUUGAACCAUGAAGAUUGAAGAACAUUGCAUCAAUGAUUUGGUCAAUGCAGACAAUAGUUGAACGGGCUUUCUGAGA